rnacentral:rRNA from 2 species
UUUUACAAUGGAGAGUUUGAUCCUGGCUCAGGAUGAACGCUAGCGGCAGGCCUAAUACAUGCAAGUCGGACGGGAUUCAGGGAGCAGCUUGCUGCAAACUGAUGAGAGUGGCGCAC